AUCUAAGAGAGUAAAGAGGUUUAACGAGGGUAGUGUCUUUAACAGAGUCAAUGGUGAAAAAUCGAGCUCUGCAAGGGUUUUAUCUCUGGUUUUUCUGGGGAGCCUUCGUGAUUAAAUGGGGAAAUCCGUAGCCUGGAGUCCAUCAAUUUCAACGCCGAGAAUCGAGUUUUUCAUCUGCAAGUAAUGCAUUUCAUGAUCCUAUUGAGUUUGGUGGAGACUGGAGAAGAAGAAGGUUAUUCCGCUUCGACUUCAGGAAAAUUUGGGGCUUUUGUAACUUUCAACACUAGGGAUGCAAAGAACGAUUACACACUGUGUUCUGAGAUUUGGCCGGUAAACUCUUUUCUCCUUCUAGGGCAUCGUAUUCCCAGGUGGCUCGAAAUUGUAAUAUCCAAGUAUUGCUUCUGCGACCUAGCUAUGUUGGAUGAUUUGUGUUGCUGGGAUGAAGUUUCGAUGCGAUUGUCUUGCUUUUUGCGGACAAAACGGGUCUCAAAAGUCUUGUUUGAGGUUAUCAAAAUUAAUCUCGAUCUCCCUGGGUUCCCAAUUUCUUUUGGAAAUAAGAUAAAUUGGGUCUAUCUAAGAAUUGGGUUUUGGUUAGAAUCUUAUCAUCAAUCAGGUACGCUCCUUGAAUUUUCAUAUUCAAUUUGGUUACAAUUGAUGAUUGCAAUUCGACUUCAGUUAGUGGUUAGUUGGUUGAUUUUCUUGUUCACUAUCUUUCGUCUCUACUUGGCUUAUUCAAUUGAUGUUGACUUAUCUUUGUCUAACUUCUUGGGUGAGCUUAUCUCUGUUUGUGAAAUAUGUACCAUUCAUAAGCUUUCUUUACUGGAUAAGAAUAUGGUUUCUUUUUUAUUUAUGGAUGACCAGCAUCCUUUUAUUCCAAUCUUUAGUAUUGCUCUGAACCUGAUGAAAGAAAGUAUUGAAAUUCUCCUUAACUACCCGUUUGAGUCUAAAAAUAGUGUCGUUGUGGUGCUGCUCUAGAUCACUGUCAGGAAGCUUAUCAAUUUUGGAUGCCUCUGGUGCCCCAAAUUUGGUUGAUAUUUUUGCUUUGCUUAAGGAAAACUAUAGAUGUGUUGUUUUUUAUCUAGAUGAAGAUUUAGUGGGCAUUUCUGAAUACUCUAAGAAGAGGACUAUUUUUGGUGCUCCUAGCCCCGCAAAGAAAACAAGGCAUAUGAUAGAACUGAUGACUACCAGUGAGGACCAAGAACGGGGAUCAGUUUCAAACACAUCUAGGGAUUGAAGAGUUGAUUUUAUCUUCCAAAAAGCAAAAAGGUAAGAUCUUUGAAGCUUUUUCUUUUGUGUUUUGAUGAAAUUUUGGUUUUUUACUUCUCCAUUUGCGUUUUUUUUUCAUCUUUGUUUCAUUCAUUCUCUGUUGAAAAUUUGCUAUAUGCCCGUGAGGCUUUCUAUAUGAUAUUCUUUAGGGAUUCAAAUAAUUCAAUUGUUGAAUUUGUUGGAUGUUGGUUGGGUUUGAAGUUGUUAUCACUGACGCUCUGUUUUGGGGCCUCGAAUUUUUUUUCGUCUUGAGCCUCCAAACUCACAGGGCCGGCCCUGAUUGUAUAGUUCUAUACUUUUAACCUCUUCCAUCACAAUUGUGUUUAGCAAAUUCCCGGUGAAAUGAUUGAUGGCAAUUACGUACUUUAAGAUAAGAAAUUCUUUCCCUUUUGGUUUCCUUUUGCGUCAUCAAUUUUGGUUGUGUGAUCUCUCUACGGUACUGCAACUGUUUGUUAUGUUGGGAUGAUUAAUCAUCCUUGAACUGAUCUUGCACAAUUUUUUUUUUUUUUUUGUCUUGAUAGGUGGAAUUCACAAGGGUUCUGGGAGAGGAAGAUUGUUCAUAUAAGGAAACUCCAAUAUAAUUAGUGUUCUUCAAAUGAUGGUUUCAGACUUUCAUUAUGGCGAAAUUUCAGUUCGUGAGCCUUAAUUAAGUGUAGUGGGAAGGGGUUAGAGGUAUUAUGUUUCUGCCUUAAUUAUGUUAUAUUGCCUUCUGAGGUUUGGAGUUGCUGCCUUGGUAGCCCCUUCAUUGGUAUAAGGAUAAACUGCAUAUAUGAUAAUCAUGGCCUGCCUGGACUUUUUUUCUAUGGACAAAUAAUCCUUCGACUUAACCAGAAAAUAGAAAAAAAAAAAAAAAAAGCAAAAGAAGAGGGGGAGGAGAAAACCAAAGAGAUUAGAAGAGAAAACAAAUGAUGCCGAGAAGAAACGGUUGAAGAAGCAUGAAAAAGAAGGAAAAAAACCGAAGAGAAUGUAAAGAGGCCAAGUUAUCAAAUCUUGAUUAAUUGUAAGGUUGGUAGAAUAUUUGUCAAUCUUAGGUACUUGGCUUUUAUUAGAAAUGAAGAUGUGAUGCACAUGCAAACCAUACCACGGUCAAAAUCAUAAUUCGCACGCGUGA